UACGGAGGGGGCUAGCGUUGUUCGGAAUUACUGGGCGUAAAGGGCGCGCAGGCGGCUUUGUUUGUCAGGCGUGAAAGCCCCGGGCUUAACCUGGGAACUGCGUUUGAUACGGCAGGGCUAGAGUUCGGGAGAGGUGAGUGGAACUGCGAGUGUAGAGGUGAAAUUCGUAGAUAUUCGCAAGAACACCAGUGGCGAAGGCGGCUCACUGGCCCGAUACUGACGCUGAGGCACGAAAGCGUGGGGAGCAAACAGG
rnacentral:rRNA from 1 species